AAUAUAAACAAUAUUUUAAAUGUAGUAUUUAGAAAAGAAUAUCUUAGGUCAUAAGGUGAGCAAUUUGAGACAAAGAUUCAAAACAUAAUUUCUGUUAAAAUACUAUUUAGUUUUUUGAUUCAUGCCCAAGUUUUGAAGUUAUAGUUUGUGUUUGUUGUUUUAACUCUUUGUGCGUAUAUUAGGCGCGUUUCCUAAACAGCUAAGUAUCCAUGGCACAAAUUAGACUUUGAUAUUGGUUUAAAAGGUGCCAGGUGUAAAUGAGAAAGAGUAUCUAGACAUUUUAU